rnacentral:tmRNA from 1 species
GGGGCUGAUAGGUUUCUACAUAUUGAUAAUUACAAAUCAAUUAUUUUUUACAAAUAUUUAAAAAUAAUAAAUGCAAAACAUAAUAUAGUUAUUUUUUCUAAUAAAAAAGCAUAUGCUUAAUUUUAUUUUAAAAUAUCAAAUAGAAUUUAAUUUAUAAUAUUAUUUGAUUUAUGUUUAAUAUAUGCUCUUGAAAUAUCAAUAUUUUUAUUAAAAAAUGUAAAUAUUUUAAGUUAAGUAUUAUUAAGUAAUACGUUUUUUAAAUUAUUAAUUUCAAUAUGGACGUGGGUUCAAUUCCCUCCAGUUCCA